rnacentral:rRNA from 1 species
CCUUUGGGCUGUAAACCUCUUUUAUCAAGGAAGAAGAUCUGACGGUACUUGAUGAAUAAGCCACGGCUAAUUCCGUGCCAGCAGCCGCGGUAAUACGGGAGUGGCAAGCGUUAUCCGGAAUUAUUGGGCGUAAAGCGUCCGCAGGCGGCCCUUCAAGUCUGCUGUUAAAAAGUGGAGCUUAACUCCAUCAUGGCAGUGGAAACUGUUGGGCUUGAGUGUGGUAGGGGCAGAGGGAAUUCCCGGUGUAGCGGUGAAAUGCGUAGAUAUCGGGUUGAACACCUGUGGCGAAGG